rnacentral:rRNA from 1 species
AGUGAACGCUGGCGGCAGGCCUAACACAUGCAAGUCGAACGGCAGCACAGUAAGAGCUUGCUCUUAUGGGUGGCGAGUGGCGGACGGGUGAGGAAUACAUCGGAAUCUACUCUUUCGUGGGGGAUAACGUAGGGAAACUUACGCUAAUACCGCAUACGACCUACGGGUGAAAGCGGAGGACCUUCGGGCUUCGCGCGAUUGAAUGAGCCGAUGUCGGAUUAGCUAGUUGGCGGGGUAAAGGCCCACCAAGGCGACGAUCCGUAGCUGGUCGGAGAGGAUGAUCACCCACACUGGAACUGAGACACGGUCCAGACUCCUACGGGAGGCAGCAGUGGGGAAUAUUGGACAAUGGGCGCAAGCCUGAUCCAGCCAUGCCGCGUGGGUGAAGAAGGCCUUCGGGUUGUAAAGCCCUUUUGUUGGGAAAGAAAAGCAGUCGGUUAAUACCCGAUUGUUCUGACGGUACCCAAAGAAUAAGCACCGGCUAACUUCGUGCCAGCAGCCGCGGUAAGAC